CUUCCCAGAAGUGGUCUGAAAUCUCUCUUCAGAUCCCCGCCGUGCAGGUGGGGAGGUUGAAAUCUGUUCUUCAGACCCCCUCCAUUGGGAGAGCUUCCCAAUAAACUUUCUGCCUGCAAUCAGUCUCUGUGUCCCAGUGAGCACCUCUUUUCUCCAACAGUGGAUGUUGACUUCCAGGGCAACCCUGCAAGAUGUAUGCUGA
rnacentral:lncRNA from 1 species